rnacentral:rRNA from 1 species
CCCUGGCUCAGGACGAACGCUGGCGGCGUGCUUAACACAUGCAAGUCGAGCGGUAAGGCCCUUCGGGGUACACGAGCGGCGAACGGGUGAGUAACACGUGGGUGAUCUGCCCUGCACUUCGGGAUAAGCCUGGGAAACUGGGUCUAAUACCGGAUAUGACCAAAGGCUGCAUGGCUUUUGGUGGAAAGGUUUACUGGUGCAGGAUGGGCCCGCGGCCUAUCAGCUUGUUGGUGGGGUAAUGGCCUACCAAGGCGACGACGGGUAGCCGACCUGAGAGGGUGACCGGCCACACUGGGACUGAGACACGGCCCAGACUCCUACGGGAGGCAGCAGUGGGGAAUAUUGCACAAUGGGCGAAAGCCUGAUGCAGCGACGCCGCGUGAGGGAUGAAGGCCUUCGGGUUGUAAACCUCUUUCAGCAGGGACGAAGCGAAAGUGACGGUACCUGCAGAAGAAGCACCGGCUAACUA